AAUCAACGCUGGCGGCGUGCCUAACACAUGCAAGUCGAACGCGAAAGUGGAGCAAUCCAUGAGUAGAGUGGCAAACGGGUGAGUAACGCGUGGGCGACCUACCUCAGAGUGGGGAUAACCUUCCGAAAGGAGGGCUAAUACCGCAUGACAUACCGUGUUUGGAUACACGGAUAUCAAAGCCGGGGAUCGUAAGACCUGGCGCUUGGAGAGGGGCCCGCGUCCGAUUAGCAGUUGGUGAGGUAACGGCUCACCAAGGCUCCGAUCGGUAUCCGGCCUGAGAGGGCGGACGGACACACUGGAACUGAGACACGGUCCAGACUCCUACGGAGGCAGCAGUGGGAAUUGUUCACAAUGGGCGCAAGCCUGAUGACGCAACGCCGCGU
rnacentral:rRNA from 1 species